CCGCGGUAUAAGGUCGUCCCAUCCUGAAUGGCCGGUGCGCAGACUCAAUUGCGACUUUUGAGGCUGUCAGCCGCCACCCGGCAACCUUCCAGUGAACAGGAUUCUGGGUUUCUCAAAGCUGUAAUUGGAGGGCCACUCCAGAGGUGUUAAAGCUCCAGCACUUCCAGCCUGCCUUGUGGGAAAGUCUUAGGCUGAGUCUGUAGGUGCCUGCAGUUAAGAAGCCAGCGGUCUGCAUAUGAUUGCUCAGGGGUGGUGGCUGGGUACCAACAGCAUUCACUACAGGCCUGCCUUGAAUACCACCUAACGCAGUGCUCCGCAUAUCACAGGGGCUGGAAACCUAACAAUUUCACGUCCUAGACAACUUGCUAAAAGUCACCUAAAGACAGUCUGGUUACUGCCAAAGAUAUGCUUUCAAAUAAGAUUUGGAUAAAGAAGGGAGGUAGAUGCCUUUUUUCAGCAGUGGAGUGAUGUCUAGACCAGUAGAUGUACGCAUCUAAGUGAAUUCAUCACCAGCAACAAUUUCCAGAAACUUCCUGACCUCCAGAUUGCAGCUUCAUUAGUG
rnacentral:antisense_RNA from 1 species